rnacentral:rRNA from 1 species
AUUGAACGCUGGCGGCAGGCCUAACACAUGCAAGUCGGACGAGUGGCGGACGGGUGAGUAAUGUCUGGGAAACUGCCUGAUGGAGGGGGAUAACUACUGGAAACGGUAGCUAAUACCGCAUACCAUCAGAUGUGCCCAGAUGGGAUUAGCUUGUAGGUGAGGUAACGGCUCACCUAGGCGACGAUCCCUAGCUGGUCUGAGAGGAUGAUCAGCAACACUGGGACUGAGACAAGGUCCAGCCUCCUACGGGAGGCAGCAGUGGGGAAUAUUGCACAAUGGGCGCAAGCCUGAUACAGCCAUGCCGCGUGUAUGAAGAAGGCCUUCGGGUUGUAAAGUACUUUCAGCGGGGAGGCGUUACCCGCAGAAGAAGCACCGGCUAACUCCGUGCCAGCAGCCGCGGUAAGAC